CUCAAAUACUUUGGCCACCUAAUGAGAAGGAAGGACUCACUGGAGAAGAGCCUAAUGCUGGGAAAGAGGCGACGGUGCAUCCAUGUGUGUCCAGCUCACCGAGUCUAGCCUGCUGCGCCUCAAAAAAAAUAACCCAUCUGUAUUAUUAAAACGUACAUGCCGGCCACAUGACCAUGGAGACGUCUUCGGACAGCGCUGGCUCUUUGGCUUUGAAACGGAGAUGAGCACCGCCCCCUAGAGUCGGCAACGACUAGCACCUCCAGAAGGCAAGCCAAGAAACAGUGGAUGGAAACGAAUCAAGGAGAGAAGCAACCUGGAAUUAACAGUGAGGACAAUUAACCAGUGGAACAGCUGGCCUUCAGAAGUUGUAGGUGGUUCAUCAGUGGAGGUUUUAAAGAAAAGACUGGAUAGCCACCUAUCUGAAAUGGUAUAGGGUCUCCUACUUGAGCAGGGGGUUGGACUAGAGGACCUCCAAGGUCCCUUCCUGCUCUAUUCUGAUUGAUUGAUAUGCAGAAUUAUUCAGUGCUGAAUCUUAAAUCAGAACAAUGGGGAGGAAGGAAAUGCCUUUGAUGAAGAAGGCAAACAAUUCUGGGUCCCAAAGAGUUUUAUAAUUCAUUGUUUAAAAAGUACUUGAUCUCACUGUUGUUAUGCCAAAAUGCUACUUUGUCUCUCUGUGUUAGUUUUUUGGAGGAAGUUUCAAUGGGAAGUGUUAGCAUCAGAAAGAAGUAUGUAGUAUUUUCUGUUCAGGUAUGUUCUGCUCCAUUCAUUGCUCCUCCAGAGCAUCGGCUACUUACCAGUCAAAGAGCAUGGAGAUGACUACUUACCAGUCAAAGAGCAUGGACAUUUGCUCUGCGCAUGCGCAAGAUGGCGCUGUUCUGAAGACUCGGCUCCGGCGAGGAAAAAGGCCCCUCCGAUGCUGGCAAUGUCCUGGCGGCCCGUCUAGCCGCUUGCUGCCCCCGGCCUGGGAGAUCUCUUUUCGAGCAGCCAUGGGAGAGGUCUCUGGACCUUCUCUGAUACAUGGCUGCCGAGAACGAGGCCGGGUAGGCUGGCGGUGGAUUCGGAGGCCAUGUUCUGAGGCACGGAGGUGGGGCGAUGAGUCGGCGUUUUCUAGCCAGCCGUUUUUCGGCCGAUUCGUUUCGCUGGCGGGCCUCUAGCCUUGGACUCGUCUUCCGGCCCUCUUCCGACCAUCGACUUCGGACUUUGGGGGUUUCAGCCUCUGCAACUUGGAUGAGAGCGGAGGUAUU